rnacentral:rRNA from 1 species
GCUAGUAUCGCGGAUCAGCACGCCGCGGUGAAUACGUUCCCGGGCCUUGUACACACCGCCCGUCACACCAUGAGAGUCUGUAACACCCAAAGCCGGUGGGAUAACCUUUAUAGGAGUCAGCCGUCUAAGGUAGGACAGAUGAUUAGGGUGAAGUCGUAACAAGGUAAC